rnacentral:pre_miRNA from 15 species
AGACCUCAGACAUUUCGGGGAUCAUCAUGUCACGAGAUACCACUGUGCACUUGUGACAGAUUGAUAACUGAAAGGUCUGGGAGCC